rnacentral:misc_RNA from 1 species
GAUGAAGAACGCAGCGAAAUGCGAUAAGUAAUGUGAAUUGCAGAAUUCAGUGAAUCAUCGAAUCUUUGAACGCACAUUGCGCCCCUUGGUAUUCCGGGGGGCAUGCCUGUUCGAGCGUCAUUAUAACCCCUCAAGCUCAGCUUGGUGUUGGGGCCUGCCAACUGGCAGCCCUUAAAAUCAGUGGCGGCGCCAUCUGGCUCUAAGCGUAGUAAUUUCUCUCGCUAUAGGGUCCCGGUGGAUGCUGGCCAACAACCCCCAAUUUUCUAUGGUAGACCUCGGAUCAGGUAGGGAUACCCGCUGAACUUAAGCAUAUCAAUAAGCGGAGGA